UCCCCACAACUCAAGUUAAAUUGUUCUAUUGUUUAGUUGCCUUUACUUUUAAAGUUUGGCACCUUAUUCUAGCCUGAAUAUGUCUGCAGAGCUGUCCAACUGACAGCCUGUGGGCUGCAUCCAGCCUUGGCAGGGAGAGGUUAAAUUAGCGUGGCCACCGCUCUCCUCAUUGUUCCUGCUGCUGCAGUGGCUGGCCAGCCAGGGUUGUUGAGGCAGGGCACAGGGAGCUUGCAUGGCAGACACCUGUGUGUCAUGUGGCCCCCAAAGCAUGUGGCUCGCAUGGUGCAGAGCCUGGGGCACAUACAGCCCCCAGCCACUCUGCUGUUGGCUAGAGGACAAGUGUAUGACAGAGAUACUGUUAACUGUACAUAAGUUUCUGCAAGGACUUCCAGCCUCGGCAAGGGUUGCUGACACCGCAUACGUAUACAGAACACAGGGUGUUCAUUUCAGAGGAAGAACUUUAACAGCUGGAAUUGUCACAUACUGCACUUGGCACUUGACAAAGUUAAGUAAGUAUUGCCAAAGCAAAGUUCAGUACAUUUUUUUUCUCACCAUGCAGUGAAAGCUCACAGAAAAAAAACAAC
rnacentral:lncRNA from 1 species